rnacentral:rRNA from 1 species
UACGAAGGGUGCUAGCGUUGUUCGGAAUCACUGGGCGUAAAGCGCGCGUAGGCGGCUUACCAAGUCAGGGGUGAAAUCCCGGGGCUCAACCCCGGAACUGCCUUUGAAACUGGUAAGCUUGAGUGUCGGAGGGGAUAGCGGAAUUCCUAAUGUAGAGGUGAAAUUCGUAGAUAUUAGGAGGAACACCGGUGGCGAAGGCGGCUAUCUGGACGACAACUGACGCUGAGGCGCGAAAGCGUGGGGAUCAAACAGG